rnacentral:rRNA from 1 species
AACUUUUGACGGUGGAUCUCUUGGCUCACGCAUCGAUGAAGAACGCAGCCAGCUGCGAUAAGUAGUGUGAAUUGCAGAAUUCAGUGAAUCAUCGAAUCUUUGAACGCAAAUGGCGCUCUUGAGUUCUCCCAGGAGCAUGUCUGUCUGAGUGUCGGAUUGUCGUCCAUC